rnacentral:rRNA from 1 species
CCUACGGGAGGCAGCAGUGAGGAAUAUUGGUCAAUGGGCGCGAGCCUGAACCAGCCAAGUAGCGUGAAGGAUGACUGCCCUACGGGUUGUAAACUUCUUUUAUAAAGGAAUAAAGUGAGGCAAGUGUGCCUUUAUGUAUGUACUUUAUGAAUAAGGAUCGGCUAACUCCGUGCCAGCAGCCGCGGUAAUACGGAGGAUCCGAGCGUUAUCCGGCUUUAUUGGGUUUAAAGGGAGCGUAGGUGGGUUGUUAAGUCAGUUGUGAAAGUGCGCGGCUCAACCGUAAAAGUGCAAUUGAUACUGGCAGCCUUGAGUACAGUAGAGGUAGGCGGAAUUCGUGGUGUAGCGGUGAAAUGCUGAGAUAUCACGAAGAACUCCGAUUGCGAAGGCAGCCUACUAGACUGCCACUGACGUUGAUGCUCGAAAGUGUGGGUAUCAAACAGGAUUAGAUACCCUUGUAGUC